AUUGAACGCUAGCGGGAUGCUUUACACAUGCAAGUCGAACGAGUGGGGGAGGGGAGAGUAAUAUAUCGAAACGUGCCCAGGAGCGGGGGAUAAAUACUCAAAAGAGUGGAUAAUCACGCAUAAUAUUGGAGAGGCGGAUAUCGGAUUAGCUAGUGGGUGGGGUAAAGGCUUACCAAGGCAACGAUCCGUCGCUGGUUUGAGAGGACGACCAGCCACACGGGGACUGGGAAACGGCCCAGACUCCUACGGGAGGCAGCAGUGGGGAAUUUUGGACAAUGGGGGAAACCCUGAUCCAGCCAUCCCGCGUGUAUGAGAAGGCCUUCGGGUUGUAAAGUACUUUUGGCAGAGAAGCGGUAUCUGCAGAAUAAGCACCGGCUAACUACGUGCCAGCAGCCGCGGUAAUAC
rnacentral:rRNA from 1 species